GACUUACUACGCACUCCUACGGGAGGCAGCAGUGGGGAAUAUUGCACAAUCGGGCGCAAGCCUGAUGCAGCCAUGCCGCGUGUAUGAAGAAGGCCUUCGGGUUGUAAAGUACUUUCAGCAGUGAGGAAGGUGGGUAUGUUAAUAGCAUACUCCAUUUGACGUUAGCUGCAGAAGAAGCACCGGCUAACUCCGUGCCAGCAGCCGCGGUAAUACGGAGGGUGCGAGCGUUAAUCGGAAUUACUGGGCGUAAAGCGCAUGCAGGUGGUUUGUUAAGUCAGAUGUGAAAGCCCGGGGCUCAACCUCGGAAUUGCAUUUGAAACUGGCAAACUAGAGUACUGUAGAGGGGGGUAGAAUUUCAGGUGUAGCGGUGAAAUGCGUAGAGAUCUGAAGGAAUACCGGUGGCGAAGGCGGCCCCCUGGACAGAUACUGACACUCAGAUGCGAAAGCGUGGGGAGCAAACAGGAUUAGAUACCCUGGUAG
rnacentral:rRNA from 1 species